rnacentral:rRNA from 1 species
AACGAACGCUAGCGGCGUGCCUAACACAUGCAAGUCGAGCGAGAAAAGACUUCGGUCGUAAGUAAAGCGGCGCACGGGUGAGUAACACGUGGGUAACGUACCCUCGGGUGGGGGAUAACAGACCGAAAGGUUUGGCUAAUACCGCAUCAGACCACAGUCCUCGCGGGGACAGGGGUCAAAAGGGGGCUGUCGCAAGGCAGCUCUCGCCUGAGGAUCGGCCCGCGGACCAUUAGCUAGUUGGUAGGGUAACGGCCUACCAAGGCUACGAUGGUUAGCUGGUCUGAGAGGACGAUCAGCCACACUGGGACUGGAACACGGCCCAGACUCCUACGGGAGGCAGCAGUGGGGAAUAUUGCGGCAAUGGGCGAAAGCCUGACGCAGCAACGCCG